GAUCUCAACAUUCAAACAUUGAUCUCCAAACUAGAUUCUAAGAAGCAUCUGCUUAGAUGCUUCCGAUAUUUUCCAAAUAUAGAUGGCAUCAGACCUGCAGCUAUUUCACAUCCCAAGAUUUUCGAAGCUGUUCGCCAACCUACGUCCAAAUGAAAGAGGAAACUUAUAGCUGCUUAAGAGUGGAAAUGACAAUAGACUAAAGAGAUUUUUUUUAGCAGAAAAAUAUAUGUUUUGCUCAAAUAAAAGAGGUUUUUUUAAGAGUAGGAAGGACUAAUCCCUACCCGCCACCCGAUAUCCAUCCACCCUAUCCCACCAAGGCCUCCUGGGCGAGCCACUGCUCAAUCAGGUAAAUUAAAUCAGAGUUGAA
rnacentral:lncRNA from 1 species